rnacentral:rRNA from 1 species
GAUGAACGCUGGCGGCGUGCCUAAUACAUGCAAGUCGAGCGAACGGACUAUCAGCUUGCUUCUCUGAUGUUCUCGUCUUCCUUGUUCUUAACCCUUUUCUAACCUACCUAUCCUACUUUUCUACCUUCGGGCCCCCGUCGCUACUACCGGAUACUCUUUUGCACCGCCUGGUUCCCAAGUGCACGACGGUCUUGCUGUCCCUUCUCGCUGGCUCCGCGCUGCAUUCGCUCGUUGGUACGGUAACGGCUUACCAAGGCAACGAUGCCUAGCCGACCUGAGAGGGUGAUCGGACAAACUGGAACUGAGACAAGGUCAAGAAUCCUACGGGAGGCAGCAGUAGGGAAUCUUCCGCAAUGGGCGAAAGCCUGACGGAGCAACGCCGCGUGAGUGAUGAAGGUCUUCGGAUCGUAAAACUCUGUUAUUAGGGAAGAACAUAUGGGUAAGUAACUGUGCACAGCUUGACGGUACCUAAUCAGAAAGCCACGGCUAACUACGUG